rnacentral:rRNA from 1 species
GACGAACGCUGGCGGCGUGCCUAAUACAUGCAAGUCGAGCGAAUCGAUGGGAGCUUGCUCCCUGAGAUUAGCGGCGGACGGGUGAGUAACACGUGGGUAACCUGCCUGUAAGACUGGGAUAACUUCGGGAAACCGGAGCUAAUACCGGAUACUUUCUUUUCUCGCAUGAGGGAAGGUGGAAAGAUGGUUCUGCUAUCACUUACAGAUGGACCCGCGGCGCAUUAGCUAGUUGGGGAGGUAACGGCUCACCAAGGCAACGAUGCGUAGCCGACCUGCGAGGGUGAUCGGCCACACUGGGACUGAGACACGGCCCAGACUCCUACGGGAGGCAGCAGUAGGGAAUCUUCCGCAAUGGACGAAAGUCUGACGGAGCAACGCCGCGUGAGCGAAGAAGGCCUUCGGGUCGUAAAGCUCUGUUGUUAGGGAAGAACAAGUACGAGAGUAACUGCUCGUACCUUGACGGUACCUAACCAGAAAGCCACGGCUAACUACGUGCCAGCCGCCGCGGUAACAC